GUUCUAACUCAAUGACGUGGUUCGGGUCGUCCACAUAUUUACGUAACAUCGAUACAUGAAAAACGUUAUGAACACGCGUCAUACUUGGCAGUAAAACGAGUCUAUAGGCCACAAUUCCUAUUCGAUCGAGAAUUUCAAAUGGAUUAAGAUUGGGAGGGCGGUUUGAAGUUCCCCAUCACCUCCUCUAUUGCUAUGUGACCCUCGGCUCGGUGGAAAGCUUCUGUCAAAUCUGCCGGAGGGUUGAUCACC
rnacentral:lncRNA from 1 species